AAAGGGAAACGACUUUAGGUUCACGUAGGCAUAGGAGAAGGAAACUUCUGUACAUUUUAAUCUGAAUAAUUCCCCAGGAUUUAAAAUUAAUUGGCUCUGGCUUGCUUGGACCGGACGCGGAUCUCGCCACCUCUUGCGUUGCCCGAGUCACUGGCAGAGAGGUGAUGAUUUUUUUUUCCCCCCUGAACUGGGUUUAUGUGCGUCCCUCUCACCCCCUCCUCUCUCUUUCUUUCUCUGUCUCUGUCGUCUCUCUCGCUGGCUUUUUAAAAAUGAGGACCCGUUCCUUGCACGUUCUGGACGGAGCCCAGAAUUGCUUCUGUAAGUCAGCCCGCCGCGGCUGCAAUAGACAGCCAAAAGGUAAACGUUUGCCUGAAAUCCGCACGCCGGCUCCACCACCCCGCCGGAUGGUGCCCUUUGCCCAGCACGGUGUCACAGGCACAGGACCCCGGGGUACCAAAUGCCCAGCAUCUCCAGCAGAUACAGCCUGGACAUCUUCAAGGUGGGGCCUGGGUCCAUACCCAAGGAUUUCUUUGGUGGGAUUUGCUGUUCGGCUGCUAACCUUUCUUUGGAUAUAGUAGUAAUCAACUUUUCCCAAAGGUUUCAUUGAACCAGGAAGUGGCUAGAGGCCUGGGAAGAAAUGCAAACACAUUUUACAGGUUACAAAAGACCCUCUCCUUUAAAUGUAAUUUAAAAACACAGCCAAUUUUAAAAUGCACAUCCAGUUCAGUAUUAAGAAACCUAUGAGCGAGAGAGAACCUCUGCCAUAAAAGUGAUUUUCUAGAACUCAAAUGAGGUUUACGGUAAGGAGGAGAAAGCUGGAUGGAUUCAGACAACACACACACCCGGAAGUGUUGGGGGUGUGUGUGGCACAAACUGGGUUAUUGAUGAGGGGCAGGAAAUCAGAACAGUAAUUAACAUCUUGGUAAGUAACCCACUGUGAACCACUGUAGACCGAGACAGAUUUUUUGUUCAUGUUGUUUUCUUGUCUAUCUCCAUUUUUCCAAUUGGGACACUUUUUUGUCCAUUUUCUCUUGAGACCCCCAUGAGUAAAAAGAAAACAGAGGUUAAAAUACCGCAGAAGAAGGACAUUGACCGCUUUGGAAGUGCCCCAGGUACACGUGACUGGAUUCUUUGGCUGGCUGGUCACAGCCUCCGUCAGCUGGUGCGUGGAAGAAGCUGAAGAAUGCGUUCUUGUCAAGUUAUGAGAUCAAAGUUUUGCAUCUUGAAAAGUUGAGACUUUUGGUGGCGGGGGAGGGUGCUGCGAUCCACUUAAAAGUGGCUGUAUAAUCUGCUGUGGCGGGCUGAUUUCAACCCCCACCCCCAAUACUAGAGGCUGAGAUGGGGCUCCACAGCUGCCCGGCAGAUGAAGGACACAUUAGGGCCAGCUGGAGUCUCCCUGGGCCAAGUCACCACAAGACGCUGGUCCUGAGAGCUGCUGCCUUGUGUCCUUUGUCACCUCAGCCACCCCAGGGUGGCCCGGCAGCUAGAUGGCUCCGAAUGUCAGAAUCCUGCUCUUCCCUCUUCUCCCGGAAAUUCGAGUUUCUCCUCUAAAGUGGAGAGCCCUUCGUGCCGAGGUUAGCCCACCGUGACAGGUUGCUUAACUCAAGCCUCCGAAGGCACGCACUGCAUCUUUAAGAAAUAGUUUACGUGUGAAUCAGUAAACGUAGCAGACAAAGCAGCCAUUAUUGAUGCAUUCCUGCCUACCCGGCAAGGUGAAAAUAAUAGAAUAAACAUCAUAUACUUCAUUAUGAUAUCGGUUUACACUUCCAGGGUACACACACAC